ACCUUAGGAUCUGGGUCCAGGUCUAUCUGACCCUAAAACCUGAGCACUCAGUCAGUGCCAUAGACUAGAAAACAUAAUCCACUUUGAAAUAAACAUACAGGACUUCCUUGAGAACAAACACCUUAUACCCUGAGACAAAUGAGGACCGUCUUAUGCAGUUGUCUGAUUCUGUUUCUAAAUCAUCAUGUCCUUGGUGACACAGGAGUAGGGGUGAAGGUGGGGACGGUUGGCAUUUCCGAGAUCCAGAAUUGUAGCCAUGGCCAUUCUGAAUGAUCCUUUCUGAAUCUUGGUUCUGAGAAGCAGUGGUAAGAGCUGAUGCUCAUCUUUUCCACUGGACAUGAAGCUUCUUGAGUACAAGAUCCUUGAAGAUAUUCCAUAGACCUUGGGUACAGUGUAUGGCACAUAACAGGGGCUCAGUAAAUGUCUAGAGUUGCUGUGGAGUUACGAGAGCAGAAAUAAGAGAUGCCAUUCUUUGCCUGGAAUGUGUAGAGGGAGAGAAUGCAAACAUGCUAGACUUAAAGAAGUCUAUUUUUGUAGAUUAUGUUUUUUAGUCUAUGGCACUGAUUAAGUGCUCAGGCUUUAGGGCCAGAUAGACCUGGACCCAGAUCUAAGGUCCACAUUAGCACUACCUUGUACAUCUUACUUAACUUCUCAGAUGCUGAGCUUCCUGUAAAAGUGAGAUUAAAUAUUCUGGGUGGAGGAUUUGAAGGAGAAAAUGGAAUGGAGUGCUUAGCACAAAAGAAGGAAGAGAGGAAUUAUGAAUGAAGCAGGGAUGAAAUAAAGACAACAUGUGGGCUCUUCCCUGUUCUGACGGUGAUUAGCUCUGUGGUUUUAGGUGAGUCUGUUUUCUCUCUCUGAGCCCACAUUUUCACAGAGGGUAAUAUUACCUGCUUACCUUUACAAGAGGACUGUGAUGAACCCUGUAAGACAGAGAGUAUGGGAAAUAUAUGGAAAAUAAUAAAAUAAUAGAAAUAUAAUGGCAAUGGUAUCAACCACAACAAUGAUAAGGAAAGCUUUCUUGUGUUGAUUGCCUUCCUGGCAUUCUUCAUACUUUGUCUUCACAAGGACCCUGUGGUCCAUUAUCUCAGUUGACAGAUGAGGAAACUUGGAGAUAUUAUCAUUAUCAAUUAUAUAAUUAUCAAACACAUGAAAAAAUCCUGACAUUCACUCAGUUUUCUGGGAGAUGGCAGAGUAAGUGUUUGGGGAUUCAGAGACAGCACUUUUUUGGCCAAAAAGCCAACCUUCCAGUUAAGUCUAAUUCAGAUUGUGCUGGGUACUUCUGUGCAAAAUUAGAUCCUCAAGGGAUUUCUUCUUUUAUCUAAAAUCACUUCAUGGAGUGUGUGAUUGACAUACAAAAAGCUACACAUGUUUACAACUUGAUGAAGUAAAACCAUAUAGCAAUCUAUGCCAUAAACCUACACAUCUCCUCCAAACAUUUCCUUCCACCUUCUUUAUUUAUUAUUUUAAAGGAUUCCUGUAAAGUGGAAUUACUCUUCUCAUCAAACAUUCUGUACUACUCUGUGAUCCAAGGAAAUGCCCAGAUUCCUCUAGAAUGGGCCCACUAGUGAUGCCUGGAUUGAAUUAAAGCAGCUGACUCUCAAGCCAAGUGGCCGGAAUUUGGACAAUUCUACUGGCUCAUCCUCUGUGCUGUAUGGAAGAAACCAAGAUAAUGACAUUUUCCCAAGGCUGGGGCUGGGCUACAAAACAAUAAGGGAACUGGUAAAAGAGCCUCUGGAAGUAUCCAAACAUCAAUAAAUUUGCUGUUGGAUUGGAAGAGGUGAUCUUUCCUGUGUGUGAUGUAAAUUCAUUGCAGGAUGUACAUAGCAGAAAAACACUGCCACUACAAGAGUCCACUCCAAUGGACUAUAAACUCCAAUUUGGCAAAAAGGAGAUGAAGGCAUAGAUGAUGUCCAAAAAGGUCCUUACUAUAAAUGAUUUCCUGGAAACACCGUGGUCAAGUCAAAAUCUUUUUGUGAGUGAGAAGAAAAUCACAAGACUGAGCAGAUUCAAGAGUGAAACUCAUCUGUGUCCGUGUGUGUUGGCCCAAGUAGGACACACAUGCAACCAUACUGCCCUUUUACUAACAAAUCAUUGUUUCAGAUGCAGAAUAAACAGCUGAAGGAUUUCGCAAAUGUUGUUCCUAAAUAAGAUAGGGAAUAGCCUGCUCAUACAAAAUACUCGAAUCCAGCCCUAAUCUAGCACACAUUAUUAGUAUUAUUUACAAAUACUGUGCCAUGUACUGUGAAUUAUUUAACCAUGAUUUUAUUUUUAAAGUUCUGUACAUCAGAAAGGCAAGUUCAUAAAGAUUAAAGGAUUUACCCCAAAUCAAAUAGCUAGUAAAUAACCGGUCCAGGAGGCAAACUAAAGCUGCCGGACUUUCAAUCUGGAGUUCUAAGACCACCAUGUGCUGCUGCCUCGCCCCUGUGAAAAGGACGCAAACUAUAUUGAAUGAAUAAAUGCAUCAACUUAUAGUAUGGAUCUUAAUAAAUGUUAAUUGACUGGGAACCACAAUUCUCUCACCAAAUUUGAUUCUCCACACCAAAUGAGAUAGUAAGUUCCAUGUAAUGAACUUACUGGACAGACUACAUUUCCUAGUGUUUUAGGUCAGCUGAGGUCUCUUCGGGGCAGCCAUGAGAGCGAGGGGUGAACCCCUGGAGGCAGCGCUCUCUCAGCAUUGCCUCUGGGUCAUCCUCACAGCAUCAAGCCAGGGAGCCCUCCUUCCCAAUCAUUGCUGUCCAGCACUCAGCUGAAACCAAGACACCAGGAUUUGGUACAACACUGCUGCUUGGGACGUCUUGACUCUGUAUCUCUGGACCCAUUUACUUAACUUAAAAAUGAGAAGAUUGGCUCAAAGAUGGCAGAAUCGGGGUUUUCUGAGGCUCUUUGCCUUUUCCUGACUCCCAAUAUAAACAACAAGGAAACUGAGAUUAUCAUACUAAGUGAAGUUAAGUCAGGCAGAGAAAGGCAAGUAUCAUAUGAUGUCACUCAUCUGUGGAAUCUAAUUAAAAAAAUGAUACAAAUGAACUCAUUCACAAAACAGAAAGACUUACAGAUACUGAAAACAAACUUAGAGUUACCAUAGGGGAAACGUUGGGGGGAGGGAUAAAUCAGGAGCUUGGGAUUAAUGUAUACACACUAUUAUAUAUAAGAUAGAUAACCAAAAAAGACCUACUGUAUAGCACAGGAAACUCAAUAUACUGUGAUAACCUGUAUGAGAAAAGAAUCUGAAAAAGAAUGAAUAUAUGUAUAUGUAUAACUGAAUCACUCUGCUGUACACCUGAAACUAACAAACAUUGUAA